rnacentral:sRNA from 1 species
UUCAUUUUGAACUUUUGACAUAUAAGCUCCCUUUCCAUGUUUUAGAGGCCAAGAAAUAAAUAACCUUUAUUCACUUUCAUACCCUUUUUUACAGAACAUAGUGAUAUUAAAAGUAAAAAAGUGGCUACAUACCUUUAAGAUAUGCAACCACUUUGGCAAUUAUCUAUAUAAGGUAGCACAUCACAUUCUGUGACAGUACAGUUCCUAUUCGAAAACUGUCCCAAUAGAUAUAAUUUAUGGUUUAUAUCUAUUUCGGCAUCUUUACCUUUCACUUGUUCAACUUAUGUACCAUAAAUACUUCUGACAAGUUACUAAUUAAACAUGCAACCUCUAACUCAAUUUAAUAU